rnacentral:rRNA from 1 species
GACUCCGUGAAGCUGGAUUCGCUAGUAAUCGCGCAUCAGCCACGGCGCGGUGAAUACGUUCCCGGGCCUUGUACACACCGCCCGUCAAGCCAUGGGAGCCGGGGGUGCCUGAAGUGCGUGACCGCAAGGAGCGCCCUAAGGCAAUACCGGUGACUGGGGCUAAGUCGUAACAAGGUAAC